rnacentral:rRNA from 1 species
UCCUACGGGAGGCAGCAGUGGGGAAUAUUGCACAAUGGGCGCAAGCCUGAUGCAGCAACGCCGCGUGAGGGAUGAAGGCCUUCGGGUUGUAAACCUCUUUUAGCAGGGAAGAAGCGAAAGUGACGGUACCUGCAGAAAAAGCACCGGCUAACUACGUGCCAGCAACC